rnacentral:rRNA from 1 species
AACGAACGCUGGCGGCAUGCCUAACACAUGCAAGUCGAACGAAACCUUCGGGACUAUUGGCGCACGGGUGCGUCACGCGUGGGAACCUUCACUUAUGUUCAGAAUAACUCCCCGACAGGGGUGCUAAUACCGGACAGUAUCUUAUGACCGAAGAUUUAUCGCCUUUGGAUGUGCCCUAGUUGGAGUCGCUGGUUGGUAGGGUAAAAGCCUCCCACGGCGACGAUCCAUAGCUGGUCUGAGAGGAUGAUCAGCCACACUUGGACUGAGACACGGCCCAGACUCCUACGGGAGGCAGCAGUGGGGAAUAUUGGACAACGGGCGAAAGCAUGAUCCAGCUAUGCCGGGUGAGUGAUGAAGGCCUUAGGGUUGUAAAGCGCUUUUACCCGGGAUGAUAAUGACAGUACCGGGAGAAUAAGCUCCGGCUAACUCCGUG